CCUGAUUGAUUCUGUCAGCGCUAUAUGCUCAGUUUAAAGAUUAAGCCAUGCAUGUCGAGUUCAUCUAUAGAGAAACUGCGAACGGCUCAUUAGAGCAGAUGUCAUUUAUUCGGAACGUCCUAUUGGAUAACUGCGGUAAUUCUGGAGCUAAUACAUGCAAUAAAACCUGACUUUUGGAAGGGUGCAAUUAUUAGUGCAAACCAAUCAUCUUCGGAUGUUGUUUGCUGACUCUGAAUAACGCAGCAUAUCGGCGGCUUGUCCGCUGAUAUUCCGAAAAGUGUCUGCCCUAUCAACCUGAUGGUAGUCUAUUAGUCUACCAUGGUUAUUACAGGUAACGGAGAAUAAGGGUUCGACUCGGAGAGGAGCCUUAGAAACGGCUACCACAUCCAAGGAAGGCAGCAGGCGCGAAACUUAUCAAUCUUGAAUAGAUGAGAUAGUGACUAAAAAUAAGAAGACCAUUCCUAUGGAACGGUCAUUCCAAUGAGUUGAUCAUAAACCUUUUUCGAGGAACAAGUGGAGGGCAAGUCUGGUGCCAGCAGCCGCGGUAAUUCCAGCUCCACUAGUGUAAAUCGUCAUUGCUGCGGUUAAAAAGCUCGUAGUUGGAUCUGAGUUACAUGCAGUGGUUCACCUUUGGUGUUAAUCGCUGUUGUGACUAUUUGCUGGUUUUCUAUUAAAGCUUCGGCUUUUUUAGUAGCUAGCGAGUUUACUUUGAAUAAAUUAGAGUGCUCAGAACAAGCGUUUGCUUGAAUGGUCGAUCAUGGAAUAAUAAAGAGGACUUCGGUUCUAUUUAUUGGUUCAGGAACUGAAAUAAUGGUUAAGAGGACAAUUCGGGGCAUUCGUAUCCCUGCGCGAGAGGUGAAAUUCGUGGACCGCAGGGGACGCCCUAAAGCAAGCAUUUGCCAAGAAUGUCUUCAUUAAUCAAGAACGAAAGUCAGAGGUUCGAAGGCGAUUAGAUACCGCCCUAGUUCUGACCGUAAACUAUGCCAUCUAGCGAUCCGAUGGGGUAUUGUUGCCUUGUCGAGGAGCUUCCGGAAACGAAAGUCUUUCGGUUCCUGGGGUAGUAUGGUUGCAAAGCUGAAACUUAAAGAAAUUGACGGAAUGGCACCACCAGGAGUGGAGCCUGCGGCUUAAUUUGACUCAACACGGGAAAACUCACCCGGCCCGGACACCGUAAGGAUUGACAGAUUGAAAGCUCUUUCUCGAUUUGGUGGUUGGUGGUGCAUGGCCGUUCUUAGUUGGUGGAGCGAUUUGUCUGGUUUAUUCCGAUAACGAGCGAGACUCUAGCCUGCUAAAUAGUGGCUGAAUUUUCAUGUUCAGUCUACUUCUUAGAGGAUAAGCGGUGACUAGCCGCACGAGAUUGAGC
rnacentral:rRNA from 1 species